GUUUCGAUCUGGGAACUUCCCAUGUGAACAUAAGUAGAAUUUCGCUGUUUUAGUUGUGUACAAGAUGUGUCUGAAACACCCUCAUUCUUUUUUUGUGCUAACUUUGUCAGUCCAAUGAGUAAAAAAAAAGAAAAAAACAAAAAAAAGAGCCAUGGUAACAGUGAAUAUUACAAGUGGGAGCUUGGACGAAAUUUCAAGGCCUGCAUCUAUCUCAAGACCUAAUUGUAGAUCUUUAAAUACAUCUACAUCUAUGGAGUUAUUAACACCAGAACCAUGUUUGCAAAAGAUUGAUUCACCUGACAGUUUGCCUGAUGGUUAUCGGAGAGGCAGUCUAGAAGAUUGCUGUCCAGCAGAAAACAAAGGUGAUGACAGAGAUAAAUCUGAAGUUGAGGAACUAAGAACAGAUCAGCAAAUAGUGGCAAGUACGACCACAUCUCUUCAGAAGUGCCUGUGGAAUCCCGAUGAGUUGUCAGGAUGUAGCUCUAUUUCAGAUUCUGGAGAUGAAAGCACUGAAACACAGAUGUUGAAGUUCUUUGAACCUUCCCCAGGACAACGAACAGACUCUUCUGACUUGGAAUAUUCUGAAGAUGCAGUUACAAAUGCUCAGAUUCAAGCAGCUAUAAAGAAAAUGAAUAAACUUGACACAAUACUUGAAGAACAGCAUUUUAAGGAAAAAGUAGUUAAAAAGCAAGGCAGAGAAAUGAGGGCAAUGCUCUGGGAAGAACUUCAGUCUAUCAGAAGCAUAGGAAGCCAUGAGGAGGUGGAAAACACAAACCAGUUUUUAGCUUUGUUCUCAUCAUGGCGUGAUACAGCUGAUCCCUCCCGUGCUAAAGAAGAUGAAAUAUCUACUUCAGUAUUUCCCACAUACAUGAAUCCUGAAGAUUAUGAUUGCCAUAAAGACCAAGAAAACCAGGAUUACUCAAGUGAAUUAAAAACUGAAAAAACAGCAGAAAAAACGCAUAGCAAAAAUAAAACCAGCCAGCAUUUCAUUAAAAAGAACAUUGAGCUAGCAAAGGAUUCAGGAAACCAAUUUGUUAUGCUUGAGGGAGAAAGGAAAAGAUUAACUGAACUAUUGAAAGAUACAGAAGAUGGGACUGAAUUGCAAGAUCUUGAGGAGAAUGUAGCUGUCUGGCAGGCACCAGGAGAAGGGUACACACCUGAAUUGACAGAAAUUCAUCUCCUGAAUGAGAUAGACAAUAAGCUUCAACUGCUUCUUUCUGAUGGAGAGUUUCCUGCUCUUUCCAGCUCUGGCUCAAAAUGUCCAAGCCAGAUGUAUCAGGAGUCUCUGGUUUGUGCAAAUAGAAGCCCAGAAACAGUUCCAGGUGAAAAGGUUCUGCGGGACAAUAAAGAAAAACGUGAUCAACAGAAUCGUCUGAAAGAAAUUGAUUAUCAGCUGGAAUCCCUAGGGAGAAGGCUUACUGAAGAACAAAUGAGCCUCUCUGAAGAGCAGAUUAAGACCCUUCUGGAAGAAUGUAUGCAGCCUCAGAGAACAAUAAGUAACGUUACCAUGCCACAGUCUCAGGAAUCUCUUUCUUUUGGAUUAAGUCCCCCCUGUUACACAAGUCAAGACUCCACUCUUCACUCCACAUCUAGUCUUUCCAAAAUGUUAGUUGAAGACCAUAUUGUAGGGAUGUUAAUGGCUCAGGAAAAGGCUGGACUUGAAGACAAAAGCUUAUGUGUUAAUGCAGAGAGCAAAAUCCCUGGCUACUAUAUCAGCAAAGCACUGGCUGGUAGUCACUUAUCAAAGGAUUCACUGGCCCAAACAGAGGAACCUGAUGACCUAGAAGGUUUACAGAAGAUGGAAGAUAAGAGUAUUACUGAGGGUUACUUUAUGUCAAGAGCACUCAACACAAAAAGAUUGAAGAAACCUUCUUUCUUGGGUGAACCAUUAUAUUGCAUCAGCAUGAACAAUGAGCCAUCCACAGAGGCUGACAUUCUCAGCAUACCACUGCAAACCAAAGGAGAUUUUUAACCUAAGACUAGUUCUCUUCCUGGGAGGCCAGCUGAUCAAAUAAGCCAGAUUUUAGGCAGAUCAUAUGAACAUUGAAAUUUGAGGGGAGAGUGACAAUAUACUUCUCUGCACAACUGUGUUCCAAAAGUGUAGCUAAACCUCUAUCAGUGUUAUUACACUGAUGCAGUAUCAUAUAAAGCAAUCUGAUGGGAAUAAAUUAUCAUAAUUGAAAA